AGCUGUACCAAAGUGGUUUGACAUGGGAAGGGAACAGGCAGUUUUCCGAGAAGCAGAGAUCUGGAGACAGCAUGUGAAGAGCUUCAGGGUUAUUUAAAUUUGAGUUGACUGCUGCAUGAAGAGUAAAAUGUGGUAAGAGCUCUGCAUGUGGAGUGUCUGAAGUCAUGAAGCCCCUGGUUACCAUUCUGUUGGAAGUAUCACAUGAUGCUGAGUGGCACUUUAUUUCCAGAAACUAGACUCGACAUAGCUGAGCAAUGUCUUUUAAAAACUGUACCUAUUGGACGUGUUGCUGUGGCCCCUUGUUGUUGAAUCUGUGGUGUGUUGAGCGACACACUUGACCAGCAUGGAUAUGGCCAGUCAGAAGGCCUGGGAGCAGUUGGCAGUCUGACCCUAGGGAAUGGAGCUGAGUUUGUCUAGGCUCUGAAAUCCCAGGAGUACACAUGAUCCCCACUGUGUCUUUUCCAGUGUUUUAAAAGUGCUCUCGAGAGCUUUGUUUUUGUAUAUGAUCCAUAUAAUCCUAACAUGCGUGCUGUUAUUUCCUUGGAUUCCUUUCUUUGCCCAUAUAAGCACAUGGUUUACAGAGUUUUACGUAUGCUACAAAUAUAUUUUCUUGAUUCCUUUUUUAUUUUCGUCAAAAUUCUUUCUUUAUAUUUCUAAUAAUAACAGCUGUAUGUUACUCGAUAUUUUGUUUUGUAAUUCAAAUAUUAGACAGUUAGUUUGCUUCCAAAUCCUGCUGCUCUGAAUGAUGCUGGGAGUCAUAUAACAUCUUCACAUCAACAGCUCUUCCCACACCCUCAAUUUGAUUGUUCACUGAGCGGGGGGCAGGCAACCCCUCAAAUGUGAGAUUGUGACUACAGAAGUGUAAACAUUUGCCAGGCCCCUAACCCUGUUGGGAACGCUCCAUGCUCGGUCCCUUCAUCUCUAAAAUGAGAUUUUAAUAACGUGUAAUGUGUAUUCAGUACGAGUUGGUCCCUCCUGCCGUUCCACCACCGUUAAGGCUCCUGCUGGUAUUGUUUUAACACAGCUUUGUCUUCUUAAAGGAAGCGGAUAUAUCAACACUAUCUUGAUCAUCAGACCGCUCUAAGGCUUUCUGUUUUCUCUUCGUCUUUGCAAAAUGAUUUCAGCUGUUGAUUUUUUAUUUCUCCUGAGUGCCAACAGCUCCCUUCUUACAACAGUGGUCUUACUUCCCCCAUUUUCUUCUAUUUUUAUCAAGAAAAUUAGAGUAUAUUCUGAAAGAAAUACUGUUGUCUCCCUCUCCUUCAUCGUCUAUUCAGGAGGAUGUAAGACUCUGACCUCUAGUGGCUGUGAGCUGUAGUUGCAGGCCAAGGCCACAGAACAGCAGCCUGCUUCAGGUCUGGAGGGAUGAGCGCCCAAAGGUUUGAAAACUCUUUCGAUGCAUUGGACUAGUUGCUGUGUCAGUCAAGACACUCUUCUUCUUCCUUGCCAAGGAAUUACUUUAUAACGCUGCUUCCAAAAACCACACCAUUUUAAGUAAGUGUUGUGAAGACAACAGUCUCAAAAUCAGUGUUGUUACAAACCAUCUACCCAGUACUACCACUGCCCAGCAAACCGUCUGCCCAGUACUACCACUGCCCAGCGACACACGUCCAGAGACUUCAGAAGACAGCGAUGGACUACCAAAUUUUAGGAGGCCUUAGGGGCUCUAGAAUAUCUUUAAAUAAAAUAUAGCUUAUUUUCAAAAAUGAUACCUCACAAAAUUUAGUUGUAUUUUUAAAAUAAAAGCCCGAGAAGUGCUUCUCAGGUACAUUUAUUUAUUUAUCAACAUGAUAUGAAGAAUAAAAGAGUAGAUCUAGAAGUUCACAUAAAGCUCAGUGGAACACACACGAGAUAUUUGUAUGUUUUUAGGUGUUGUGUGAAAUGAGGUACCAUAACCAUUUGAUUUAUUUUUAUUAAGCUUUUGUUAUCUUACUUUAAUAAAAACCAAUUUUCAAAGUGA